GACGAACGCUGGCGGCGUGCUUAACACAUGCAAGUCGAACGGCAAGGCCCUGCUUUUGUGGGGUGCUCGAGUGGCGAACGGGUGAGUAACACGUGAGUAACCUGCCCUUGACUUUGGGAUAACUUCAGGAAACUGGGGCUAAUACCGGAUAGGAGCUCCUGCUGCAUGGUGGGGGUUGGAACGUUUCGGCGGUUGGGGAUGGACUCGCGGCUUAUCAGCUUGUUGGUGGGGUAGUGGCUUACCAAGGCUUUGACGGGUAGCCGGCCUGAGAGGGUGACCGGCCACAUUGGGACUGAGAUACGGCCCAGACUCCUACGGGAGGCAGCAGUGGGGAAUAUUGCACAAUGGGCGGAAGCCUGAGGCAGCAACGCCGCGUGCGGGAUGACGGCCUUCGGGUUGUAAACCGCUUUCGCCUGUGACGAAGCGUGAGUGACGGUAAUGGGUAAAGAAGCACCGGCUAACUACGUG
rnacentral:rRNA from 1 species